rnacentral:rRNA from 1 species
GAUGAACGCUGGCGGCGUGCCUAAUACAUGCAAGUCGAGCGAACGGACGAGAAGCUUGCUUCUCUGAUGUUAGCGGCGGACGGGUGAGUAACACGUGGAUAACCUACCUAUAAGACUGGGAUAACUUCGGGAAACCGGAGCUAAUACCGGAUAAUAUUUUGAACCGCAUGGUUCAAAAGUGAAAGACGGUCUUGCUGUCCCUUAUAGAUGGAUCCGCGCUGCAUUAGCUAGUUGGUAAGGUAACGGCUUACCAAGGCAACGAUGCGUAGCCGACCUGAGGGGGUGAUCGGCCACACUGGAACUGAGACACGGUCCAGACUCCUACGGGAGGCAGCAGUAGGGAAUCUUCCGCAAUGGGCGAAAGCCUGACGGAGCAACGCCGCGUGAGUGAUGAAGGUCUUCGGAUCGUAAAACUCUGUUAUUAGGGAAGAACAUAUGUGUAAGUAACUGUGCACAUCUUGACGGUACCUAAUCAGAAAGCCACGGCUAACUACGUG